CGUUUGCGGCGGGCCUAACACAUGCAAGUCGAACGCACUAGCAAUAGUGAGUGGCGCACGGGUGCGUAACACGUGGGUAAUCAACCCUUCAGCUUGGGAUAACGACUUGAAAGGGUCGCUAAUACCGGAUACGGCGCGGGAGGCUUCGGCUUCUCACGAGAAAGCCUCGCAAGGGGCACUGAAGGACGAGCCUGCGGCCCAUCAGCUAGUUGGUGAGGUAAGAGCUCACCAAGGCGAAGACGGGUAGCUGGUCUGAGAGGAUGAUCAGCCACACUGGAACUGAGACACGGUCCAGACUCCUACGGGAGGCAGCAGUGGGGAAUAUUGCGCAAUGGGCGAAAGCCUGACGCAGCCACGCCGCGUGAGCGAUGAAGGCCUUCGGGUCGUAAAGCUCUGUGGGGAGAGACGAAGAAAGCCCGUGAAGAGCGGGCCUUGACGGUAUCUCCUUAGCAAGCACCGGCUAACUCCGUG
rnacentral:rRNA from 1 species